UAAUUCAAUUCAAUCGAAUUAUUUAGGUGUACCCAAACCCCGUUGGCAAAUUAAAAUUUUUGAAAACAUUUUUGAGAAUGACGUCAUGAUGCCGCACUGUAUUUACAGUCCGUUGAGGAUUUCGUCAUUUGGUGAUUUUGUCAUACUACAUUAUACCAUAGUGGAAUAGUGACUUUAUGUCAAAUUCACACUAAGUAAUACUGCAUUGAUGACUCCAUCAUUUUUAUCAUCUCUGCACCAGGUUACAUGGUACAUAAGUGAUAAAUAAAAAUAAUUUUUGAUAUUUCAAAUCAUUUGCGUCUAGCCGAAAUAAGUAGCAUAGACUGUACUUUAAACCGUUUCAAAAAUGGUUACGAGUCUACAUUUUUUUUUAAAAGGCACAUAGUGCGUAUUUAGCUUGAUGUCAAAAAUUUGAAGUUUAGCAUAGCUAGGAGUUUAGGAAAACC
rnacentral:lncRNA from 1 species